AUUGAACGCUGGCGGCAUGCCUUACACAUGCAAGUCGAACGGCAGCGGACCUUCGGGUGCCGGCGAGUGGCGAACGGGUGAGUAAUAUAUCGGAACGUACCUUUCAGUGGGGGAUAACGUAGCGAAAGUUACGCUAAUACCGCAUAUUCUGUGAGCAGGAAAGCAGGGGAUCGCAAGACCUUGCGCUGAUUGAGCGGCCGAUAUCAGAUUAGCUAGUUGGUGAGGUAAAGGCUCACCAAGGCGACGAUCUGUAGCGGGUCUGAGAGGAUGAUCCGCCACACUGGGACUGAGACACGGCCCAGACUCCUACGGGAGGCAGCAGUGGGGAAUUUUGGACAAUGGGCGCAAGCCUGAUCCAGCCAUGCCGCGUGAGUGAAGAAGGCCU
rnacentral:rRNA from 1 species